rnacentral:rRNA from 1 species
GUGGAUUAGAUACCCUGGUAGUCCAUGCCGUAAACGUUGGGAACUAGAUGUGGGGACCAUUCCACGGUCUCCGUGUCGCAGCUAACGCAUUAAGUUCCCCGCCUGGGGAGUACGGCCGCAAGGCUAAAACUCAAAGGAAUUGACGGGGGCCCGCACAAGCGGCGGAGCAUGCGGAUUAAUUCGAUGCAGCGCGAAGAACCUUACCAAGGCUUGACAUAUACGAGAACGCUCUAGAAAUAGAGAACUCUUUGGACACUCGUAUACAGGUGGUGCAUGGUUGUCGUCAGCU